AGCGAACGCUGGCGGCAGGCUUAACACAUGCAAGUCGAGCGGGCGUAGCAAUACGUCAGCGGCAGACGGGUGAGUAACGCGUGGGAACGUACCUUUGGUUCGGAACAACACAGGGAAACUUGUGCUAAUACCGGAUAAGCCCUUACGGGGAAAGAUUUAUCGCCGAAAGAUCGGCCCGCGUCUGAUCAGCUAGUUGGUGAGGUAACGGCUCACCAAGGCGACGAUCAGUAGCNGGUCUGAGAGGAUGAUCAGCCACAUUGGGACUGAGACACGGCCCAAACUCCUACGGGAGGCAGCAGUGGGGAAUAUUGGACAAUGGGCGCAAGCCUGAUCCAGCCAUGCCGCGUGAGUGAUGAAGGCCCUAGGGUUGUAAAGCUCUUUUGUGCGGGAAGAUAAUGACGGUACCGCAAGAAUAA
rnacentral:rRNA from 1 species